rnacentral:lncRNA from 1 species
CCUUUUUAAUAAAUAAGUGAAGUUGGCAUUAAUUCAAUUUGACAUUUGCCAUAUUCUGCAGAAUUAUGAGCAUUCACUUUUUUUCGGAAACUGUAUUUAAACAGAAUGCUUUUGGUCGAUGACAAGUUUUGAACAGUUUUGGAGAAGGUUUCAGUAAAAAUAGACAAUGUGUUAGCAAACAAAAAUCAAGGGGCUUGUAAUUUCCAGGAAGACCUUGGGUGGGUUCACAGGCAACCAUCCCAACCAUUUUUCAUCUCAGGAAAGCUGAUUUGAAGAAGCUGAUGAACUCCUUGUGACUGUUAUUGUUUGGACAAAGAGGAACGGCUUCAAACUGAGAGUAGGUUUAAAUUAAAUAUUAGGGAGAAAUUCUUCCCUGUGAGGGUGGUGAGGCCCUGGCACAGGGUGCCCAGAGCAGCUGUGGCUGCCCCAUCCCUGGAAGUGUCCAAGGCCAGGUUGGACAGGGCUUGGAGCAACCUGGGAUAGGGGAAGGUGUCCCUGCCCAUGGCAGGGGCUGGAAUGGGAUCAUCUUUAAGGUCCCUUCCAACACAAACCAUUCUGUGAUUCCAUCAUUCUCUGAUUACUCAGGUACCUCCAGUUCUACCCAGUGCCUCUGGACAGAGAUGAUCUUGUUCCUGCCAAUAGGUCACCAGAGGAGUGGGGCUCUCAAGAAGAAGUUAGGACAAACCACAGCUGAUCUGGCAUAGCACUGGCCUGCUCUGAGCAGAUUGGACUAGAAAUCUUCAGUGGUCACUCCC